GCCGAGGUCCCUGGGGAGGGGGGAGGAGGAGGAGAAGGAGGGUGGAGGAGGAAGGUGAGGAUGGAGAAAGGUGUGGAUGGAGGACUCGGAGGAAGAUGAGGAUGAAGAACUAGGAGGAAGAUGUGGAUGGAGGAGGAGGAGGAAGACGAAGAAGAAAGAUGAGGAUGGAGGAUGAGGAUGGGGGAGGAAGAUGAGAAUGGAGGACCAGGAGGAGGGUGGAGUGAGAUGUCAUCACGUUGCUACAACACAGCAGGGAUCUCAAAUACAUUGAAACUGAAGGUUACGUGCUAAAAUCCUGAAGACUGAGAAGUGAAGUGGAAGAAGUAAUUACUAGAAGGAUAAGUCAUUACUAGA
rnacentral:lncRNA from 1 species